UAGGUGUUCUCUCUCACGGCUGGGGUAUCAGGCAGUACGUUUGAGCGUUGCACAAUUCUGGAAACUAUCCUCAAAUUCCUGACUUUUCCGUAAAUCCUGGUUGGAGAACCCGACCAGGAUUUCUUGAUAAACCUGGGGAUUUCGGGCAUGUUCUGGGACCCUAGUGAUGAUAUCGUAAGGAUUUCUCUACUUGUGGAACUCUUCAGCUGAUGGGGAAUGAUGCCCAAUGUGUUCCAAUAAUAGAACCCAUCUCAUAUCAUCAGUACUGGAUUCAUAAAGUAAACGUCCAAUGAUUGUAGUACAUUGACAAUAAAAUUGAGAGGUCCUAGAACUGAGCACUGAUGAACACCUGAUUUAAUUGACCAAAUAAUGACACGUGGUACACACAAAUAAUGUGUCCGUACCAGUAUCUAUGCAAAAAAUAGCACUUUACAUUGAAAUGUUCAAAUAUUUAAAAAUUCACCCUUGAUACUAUAUGUAGCCUUAAGUUAAUGGCAUAAAUUACCCUGGCUGAGCUCUACUCUACUGCCCCUCUAUUGCCCUGGCUGAGCUCUACUCUACUGCCCCUCUAUUGCCCUGGCUGAGCUCUACUCUACUGCCCCUCUAUUGCCCUGGCUGAGCUCUACUCUACUGCCCUCUAUUGCCCUGGCUGAGCUCUACUCUACUGCCCCUCUAUUGCCCGGGCUAGCUUCACUCUACUGCGCCUCUAUUUCCCUGGUUGAGCUCUACUACUGCCCCUCAUUGCCCUGGCUGAGCUCUACCUACUGCCCUCUAUUGCCCUGGCUGAGCCUGCUCUACUGCCCUCUAUUGCCCUGGCUGAGCUCUACUCUACUAUUCUACUGCCCUUCUACCCUCUAUUGCCUCUGGCUGAGCUCUACUCUCCCACCUAUUGCCUGCUAGCUCUACUGCCCUUACCCCUAUUGCCUGGCUGAGCUCUACUCUACGCCCCUACCCGCUGUGCCCCUCAGUGAUGUCCCGCUGUGCCCCUCUAGUGAUGUCGCUGGGCCCCUCUAGUGAUGUCGCUGUGCCCCUCUAUGAUGUGCUGCCUUAGUGAUUUGGCUGCUCAGUCAGUAGCUAG
rnacentral:lncRNA from 1 species